AAGUCGUAACAAGGUUUCCGUAGGUGAACCUGCGGAAGGAUCAUUAUACGUUUAUCCAACGUACCAACCACCGUGCACUUUGUUUAUCAAAGUUGUGAAGUUGUGUAGCUUUUGUGUUUGUUGGCUGUGUUGAGUGUGUUUAAGUGGCACUCAAUCAGUCGGCCUUCUGUUGCUUCGGCGGCAGAGUCGAGCUACAUUGACUCAAACCAUUUUAUUUUAUUCAAUUAAAACGCAUUGUAAUCACUUGUACUAAUUACGAAAAACAUCUGGCUUUUGACGUCUUCGGACGACGAAAACAAGAUGGAAUUAAGACAUUAAUUGCUGAACAACUCUUAGCAACGGAUAUCUUGGUUCUC
rnacentral:misc_RNA from 1 species